CGUAGGUGCGAGCGUUGUCCGGAUUUAUUGGGCGUAAAGAGCUUGUAGGUGGUUUGUCGCGUCGGGAGUGAAACUCAGGGCUUAACUCUGAGCUUGCUUUCGAUACGGGCUGACUUGAGGGAGGUAGGGAGAAUGGAAUUCCUGGUGGAGCGGUGGAAUGCGCAGAUAUCAGGAGGAACACCGGUGGCGAAGGCGGUUCUCUGGACCUUUCCUGACGCUGAGAAGCGAAAGCGUGGGGAGCGAACAGGCUU
rnacentral:rRNA from 1 species